rnacentral:rRNA from 1 species
UUGCCAGCCCGCUCAGAAACUCAAAGGAAUUGACGGGGCCCGCACAAGCGGAGGAGCAUGUGGUUAAUUCGAUGAUACGCGAGGAACCUUACCUGGGCUCGAACGUAAGAUGACUGUAGGUGAAAGCUUACAUCUCUUCGGAGCAUUUUACGAGGUGCUGCAUGGUUGUCGUCAGCUCGUGCCGUGAGGUGUCGGGUUAAGUCCCAUAACGAGCGCAACCCCUACCUUUAGUUGCCAUCAGGUUAAGCUGGGGACUCUAAAGGAACUGCCUACGCAAGUAGUGAGGAAGGCGGGGAUGACGUCAAAUCAGCACGGCCCUUACGUCCAGGGCUACAUACGUGCUACAAUGGCCGAUACAGAGGGCAGCUACCUGGUGACAGGAUGCAAAUCUCCAAAGUCGGUCUCAGUUCGGAUCGGAGUCUGCAACCCGACUCCGUGAAGUUGGAUUCGCUAGUAAUCGCGCAUCAGCCAUGGCGCGGUGAAUACGUUCCCGGGCCUU